rnacentral:rRNA from 1 species
UACGGAGGGUGCAAGCGUUAAUCGGAAUUACUGGGCGUAAAGCGCACGCAGGCGGUCUUUUAAGUCAGAUGUGAAAUCCCCGGGCUCAACCUGGGAAUAGCAUUUGAGACUGGAAGGCUAGAGUACUGUAGGGGGGGGUAGAAUUCCAGGUGUAGCGGUGAAAUGCGUAGAGAUGUGGAGGAAUACCGAUGGCGAAGGCAGCCCCCUGGGCAUAUACUGACGCUCAUGUGCGAAAGCGUGGGGAGCAAACAGG